UGGGUAGAAGAAAUCUAUACCUCUUCUAGGACCAAUCAAGAGUCCCUCUCACUCUUUGCUCCCUGCAAACUAAGCAAUGUCAAUCAUGGGACUUCCAAUACCCACAAUCCAUUCUAAGGGAGACUGGCCAGCCCACAGACAAACCUUGUUCAACCUGACUCACUGGAACUACCACUCCUUCCUAUGUGUCUCAGAUUCUCCCCCGAGCUCUUACACCCUACACAUUUCCUGUGGGCUUCCAUCAUUUCCUCA